GACGAACGCUGGCGGCGUGCUUAACACAUGCAAGUCGAACGAAGUGGCGAACGGGUGAGUAACGCGUAAUCAACCUGCCCUUCAGAGGGGGACAACAGUUGGAAACGACUGCUAAUACCGCAUACUGAAUGAGGGGAUUGCGUCGGAUUAGCUAGUGGGGGGGGGAACGGCCCACCAAGGCGGUGAUCAGUAGCCGGUCUGAGAGGGUGAACGGCCACAGUGGGACUGAGAAACUGCCCCGACUCCUACGGGAGGCAGCAGUUGGGAAUCUUCCGCAAUGGACGAAAGUCUGACGGAGCAACGCCGCGGUAGUGAUGACGGCCUUCGGGUUGUAAAGCUCUGUUAAUCGGGACGCGGUACCGGAAUAGAAAGCCACGGCUAACUACGUGCCAGCAGCCGCGGUAAUUC
rnacentral:rRNA from 1 species